UCUCCGUUGGUGAACCAGCGGAGGGAUCAUUACAGAGUUGCAAAACUCCCAAACCAUCGUGAACGUUACCUACAUCGUUGCUUCGGCGGGUGGCGGGCUUCGGCCCCGCCCUCGGCCCCUCCCGGGGGCCCGCCGGAGGUACACCAAACUCUUGAAUUUACAUGGCCUCUCUGAGUCUUCUGUACUGAAUAAGUCAAAACUUUCAACAACGGAUCUCUUGGUUCUG
rnacentral:misc_RNA from 1 species